GAUGAACGCUGGCGGCGUGCCUAAUACAUGCAAGUCGAGCGAACAGAUAAGGAGCUUGCCUCUUUUACGUUAGCGGCGCACGGGGGAGUAACACGUGUAUAACCUAUCUAUAAGAGUGGGGUAAAUUCGGGGAACCGGAGCGAAAACCGGAUAACAGAUUUAACCUCAGGGUUCAGGAGAGAAAGACGGCGGUGCUGACACGUAUGGAUGGAUCCGCGCCGAAUUAGCUAGUUGGUAAGGUAACGGCUUACCAAGGCAACGAUACGUAGCCGACCUGAGAGAGUGACCGCCCAAACUGGACCUGAGCAACGCCCAGGCUUCUUCCGGGAGGAACAGGUAGGGAACCUUCCGCAAUGGGCGAAAGCCUGACGGAGCACCGCGGCGUGAGUGAUGCAGGCUUUCGGAUCGUAAACCCCUUUUAUCAGGGCAGAACGACUGUGUACGUAACUUUGCACAUCUUGACGGUACCUGAACAGAAAGCCACGGCUAACUACGUG
rnacentral:rRNA from 1 species